rnacentral:lncRNA from 1 species
AGGAAGAUGGGGCUGGGGAAUUCUUUUUGGUUUUCUGGUUUUGUUUUGCUCUGGUUUUGGUCGGGGUUUUGUAUUUUUCUAUUCUUCCUUGGUUUUAUUUUUUCCUUUUUUUCCUUUUUUUUUUCCUUUUGCUUUCCUGUCAUUCUCCCAGCCAAAAGCCGCCUUCGACCCUUUUGAUUUGAUGUAGCAAAGAGUGUGUGUCCAGAUUAUCUGAAAUAGACACUGAAGAAGCAGCAGCUCCUGCCUAAAGAUUUCCUCUUCUGAUUAAAGGCAUGAGGCUGUGCGCAGAAACAUUUCAUGCAGCACGUUGGUUGGAGCAAAAGAGAAAAACAAAAGAAAGAGGAAAA